rnacentral:rRNA from 1 species
UACGGGGGGGGCAAGCGUUGUUCGGAAUUACUGGGCGUAAAGGGCGCGUAGGCGGUGCUCUAAGUUAGAUGUGAAAACUCUGGGCUCAACCCAGAGCCUGCAUCUAAAACUGGAGUGCUAGAGUUCUGGAGGGGGUAGCGGAAUUCCUGGUGUAGCGGUGAAAUGCGUAGAUAUCAGGAGGAACACCGGUGGCGAAGGCGGCAUCCUGGACCAACACUGACACUGAGGAGCGAAAGCCAGGGGAGCAAACGGG